ACAAUCCUAGAGAUAGGACGUUCCCUCGGGGACAGGAUGACAGGUGGUGCAUGGUUGUCGUCAGCUCGUGUCGUGAGAUGUUGGGUUAAGUCCCGCAACGAGCGCAACCCUUGAUCUUAGUUGCCAGCAUUUAGUUGGGCACUCUAAGGUGACUGCCGGUGACAAACCGGAGGAAGGUGGGGAUGACGUCAAAUCAUCAUGCCCCUUAUGACCUGGGCUACACACGUGCUACAAUGGAUGGUACAAAGGGCAGCAAAACCGCGAGGUCGAGCCAAUCCCAUAAAACCAUUCUCAGUUCGGAUUGUAGGCUGCAACUCGCCUACAUGAAGCUGGAAUCGCUAGUAAUCGCGGAUCAGCAUGCCGCGGUGAAUACGUUCCCGGGCCUUGUACACACCGCCCGUCACACCACGAGAGUUUGUAACACCCGAAGUCGGUGGGGUAACCCUUCUGGGAGCCAGCCGCCUAAGGUGGGAUAGAUGAUUGGGGUGAAGUCGUAACAAGGUAGGCGUAGCGAG
rnacentral:rRNA from 1 species